GCUGAGGUGCACCCGUGACCAGCUCGGAAACCGGAUUGCACAGCGGAGAAGGAACUAGCCUUCCCCCUGACCUGCUCGGCGUGAUGAGCUGAGUUAAGGUGAAUGGUGAAAUGAAGGGGCGUGAAGAGGCAGAAGGAGACUGAGAGCCUUGCCUUUCAUCAGCAGCUGCUGACUCAGUUUCUGAAAGCAAAAUGUCACCCCUCCAGCCUGCUUGGCCAGCAGCUAAUCCGUUUGGAGAAUCGAUUCCAUUUUAACGGUGUGCUGUGGAGUGGCCUGAUGUAUGGCUGGAGUUGUGUGUGUGUGUGUGUGUGUGUGUGUGCACAGAGGGCCUAGUGGAGUGUGUGUUUUCUGUUGUUGCCUUAACAAUAUUUUUUGUGUGUGAAACCAAAGUUAGAAAUAAUAAACAUUUGUUCAUAGUA